CCGCUCUGACCAGCUGUUAAGAGUGCACGUUCACUUUGCAAUUAACUCUCUUGCUUACUUUUACCUUGGACUCACUCUCGAAUUCUUUUCUUGAGGCAAAGUCAAGAACCGGAACUGGCCCACCAGCCAUAGCAGGGGAGACUGUGUGUGCCGCGGUGCAGGCAGCACUCAUGCCGGGAAUGGAUUAAAAUUAUUUAUUGAAUAGACAUUUAUGGAGCAUCUAUUAUAACAGGAAAAAGUACCAGGCCCUGAAGACACAAGAAUAAAAUCAAGCGUUUACAACUUACAAAAGGAGAAAGACAAGUACACCACAGUGUACAGCAAUAUUUAUAGUACUGACAUAAAGUAGUCAUAGAUAUGGUGUUCGGGGGAGCAGUGAAGGACAAGGACCAGGACAGGGAACUCCAUUUUGAGCAGAGUAUUAAAAGAUGACUAGGAUAAAAUCUUAAAGAAACGAUAUGCUAUGCAUUCCAUGAAAACAAAACGAAAAACACCAGUGUGCUCUGCCUAUCAGGAUUCAAGCUGCCUUGUAAAUAUUACUAAUUAUUCAUAUUAGGAACACACUAGUCAACUCCAUUAAAAAGCCACUUUCCAUCCCUGCAUAAUGGUAGCUCUAUGAAUUUGUGAUUCAGACCAUAUUCCCUCAAACAAAUGCAUUACUAAACUUUGACUAGACAUCAGAAUUGUUAAACAAUAACAAAAUAAAAUUGAACAACUGAAUAAAGCUGAAGCCCUGAACAGCCUAACUGGAAAAGGAGAAGACCCUUUAAUUGGUCAUAUACACCUCUUGACCUGUAUUUGGCAAUCUGCUCUCCGACCGUCAACAGAUAAGCAGCACAGCCCUCAAGGUUGGAGACUGAUCUUUGGUAAAGCAGGCAUCCAUCCCAGAUGCUGCUGUCUCCCGUACACAGCCCUCAGAGCCAAGGGAGGCCUGGAACCUGAGAAGUUUAUUUCCAAUUAGGACAGUUGCCUAUACUUCUCAUUCGAAGCAUCCAGAGACAAGGGCCAGCCCAACCCCCAAUGCCAGGAGCCAAGGCAGCAUUAUCUUCUGUAUGAGUUCCUGACCCAGAGGUGACCUGCACGAUUUCUUCUGUGUCCGCUGAGGGCCAUGGAAGAAUUUUCUCAGCUCGGCUAUUAUGUAAACUCUAAUCUUACCAGUGGCAACAUGGCAACCACAAAUCCCAAGUCCCAGGAGGAUUAUACUUAAUGGAGAGAACUCACUGGUCUAUUGGGACUAUUGGCACUGCAAAAAUGCCAUAAAGAGCUAUUUAUGACAAACCCACAGCCAAUAUCAUACUGAAUGGGCAAAAACUGGAAGCAUUCCCUUUGAAAACUGGCA
rnacentral:lncRNA from 1 species